rnacentral:rRNA from 1 species
UGACCGCUGGCGGCGUGCCUAAUACAUGCACGUCGAGCGAACGGACGCGAAGCUUGCUUCUCUGCUGUUAGCGGCGGACGGGUGAGUAACACGUGGAUAACCUACCUAUAAGACUGGGAUAACUUCGGGAAACCGGAGCUAAUACCGGAUAAUAUUUUGAACCGCAUGGUUCAAAAGUGAAAGACGGUCUUGCUGUCACUUAUAGAUGGAUCCGCGCUGCAUUAGCUAGUUGGUAAGGUAACGGCUUACCAAGGCAACGAUGCAUAGCCGACCUGAGAGGGUGAUCGGCCACACUGGAACUGAGACACGGUCCAGACUCCUACGGGAGGCAGCAGUAGGGAAUCUUCCGCAAUGGGCGAAAGCCUGACGGAGCAACGCCGCGUGAGUGAUGAAGGUCUUCGGAUCGUAAAACUCUGUUAUUAGGGAAGAACAUAUGUGUAAGUAACUGUGCACAUCUUGACGGUACCUAAUCAGAAAGCCACGGCUAACUACGUG